rnacentral:misc_RNA from 1 species
UGCAGGCGUUAAUAAUUGGAGCUCCAUUAAUUUCAUAAAAAAAAUUGAUAAAUGAGUUUUAAUGCGUAUAUCUGUCGUAGAAUUUAUUUAAUUAAUAAAUGAGGCAAAUACUGUGGAAUCAUUCUAUUUACUGUUAUGUCUUAACAUCCCAACUAUUUUCCGAAGAGGUGGAUAUAAGUAAGCAACCCGAAAGAGCACUUCUAAAUUAUUGAAAAAAAAUGAACGAGUCCUAGCAUAAAACAGAGCGUAAAAUGUUCCAUCUGCAUCCUUAAGGCUUUUGUGUUUAUAUAAUUAUUAACUAACCAUCUUUAAGGUAUGUUUUUGACGUAGUAGUUUCUUCAAUUUAUGAGAUUUAAUAUUGUUAAUGCCUUUAUGGUUUAAGAGUAGUUGUUGAACAUAUUAUUAACUUGUGUAUUAUAAGUAGAUUUGAGGCCUUGUUUCUGUACCCCUAGUUUGUUUGGUUUGAAAGUUGUAUAAAUCUCCAUGCCAUCCCGUUGUCCUGGCUGGAGUUCUUUGAUAGUAGAUGAAGUAUUUGGUUGAAGAUGUGAAGCAAACCUUCGUUUCGUUGAAGUGAGAGCACUCCCUGGCAAUCUUCAAAUGCAGCGGAUCCAAGUUCAACUUGAAAAUUUUGGCGUCCCAAAUUUAUUGGUGUUCAGAACUUCGAAGAAUUGAACACAGCCUCACCGUAUAUGGAGGCAGAAGCUGAUGCAAUGGUUCUUGAUGGUUUUAUUGGAAUACUUGCCCAAGUCGAUAAUUGGGGAAGCAUCAAUAUUUUUGUCGGGCUGGUGUUUUAUGGAUUUUCCUCGCCGUCAUGUUUAAGAAGUUUCAGAUAGUCAUUAGAUGUCCGUGUGCGAGAAAUAAUACGAGGUGAUGCAAUAUUAUGAAGUAUUGAUUUCAGUAUUAAUUGCUAUUAAAUUUUAUAUCUGUUUCUAGUUCUGCGAUUACUUUUUUGUACUAUUUGAGUGUUAUAAGUUAAAGUGGGAUUUUUUC